AGUACACCCUCUUCUUGUCUCCGUUGCUGCUUUCGCCCUCCUGUGUGUAACCGUCCCAAGCUCACACACGGGAACACAGGGGCUGAUGCAGAGCCGCCCAGAGGGGGGCACCAAGGAGGAGGUUAUAAAAGCAUUAUAAGCCAGCUCUUGCCUUUCCACUGCCAGCAGGGGUGACCUCAAGGACUAGAAAUGGUAUCAAAGGCCCAUGGCUGUCACAGGAUCAGCCCCUUCUAUCGGCUCGAGAGAUGAUGUCCUGGAACUGUGAUCCUGAAACUGCAGCCUCCGGUACAGUAGAAACAACCUACUCCUUUGUGUUGGCUCUGAGAUUUAAUACCAUUAUGCUGUUUUUCAUUUUUGAUUUCUUGUCUUAAGACAUUUUCAACCUUUUCAUCCUAAACUGUGACCCACUGUGACCUCAGACACCCAAGGGUGAGGAACAAUCACGAGUACUGCUGUGUGAACAAUGGAGUCACAGUCACGGUUAUCUGACAUUUAACGCUAUGCAUAGAAUUUGAUAGUUCAGGUACAUAUGCUAUGUUU